AUCACACUGAAACGUGUUUGAAUAUUGGUAAACCAGCAUCAUUAUAGUGUCGUAUCUCAUGAAUAAUGUUAAGUGCCUGGGUAUGCAUGGAAUUAGACUAGGCCUACAUUACCCAAAAGAGAGAAUUUCUGCCCCCUAGAAGAUUAUAUUUACAUCAGCAUUGUACCUAAUGAGCAUAAUAUCCUUUUAGAAUGGCCAAAACUUACAAUAAAUUUUGAUAUUUUCCUAUAUAACAGUUGUGGAAAGCCAUAAAAUUAUUUUUCUGUGCAAGUGCAGUAAGCAUAUUCAUGCAGUCAUUGGUGAUAUAUUGUCUAUGCAUAUAUUUUAGAAAUUGCAUGCUGAAAAACCUUCAUUGAAACCACUGAUUUAUGAAAGCAAGCAUAAAGUGAAGAAGCAGAGUAGAAAGAAGGCUUUGGAAGAAAAAUUAAGUCUGGCUUGUAAAAUAUUCAGAAAGUUAUCGCAGAUCACAUUUAUUGAUUGGAAGCCAAUGUUUUUCCUUCUUUUAUUGCAAGAAUGACAUAUUUUAACAUUAAAUUUAUAACAUUUCUUCAUUCCAAUAUCAAUUGCUUGACUAUGAUUAGUGUUCCGCAGUGCAUUUACUGUGCUGUCACUUAAAUUUUCAGUCUGUUUUGAGAUGUUUGAGAACACAAGAGAUCUUGAUGAGAAUGUGGUCGGCUCAUUCUUCUUAAUACCAGUCACUCAGAAAACCAGAGUGUAAAGGACAGCUCGAUCAUUUUCCAGCUCUACCCUUGCCUCUGGGCACAAUCAUGUAAAGAUUGGUUUUGGAAGAAAAGGUUAUUGCCUGCUUCAAUUACUUAUGAGAUUUAAAGCUUUCCAACUUGCCUUCUCAGGAUUGUCACGAAAAGGAGGCUGCUUUAUCUCAAUAUUGAAAUGUGUUUUUCAAGAACCAGAGGGGAGUUGAUUUCUCCAGAAACCUAGGGGAGCUGUGAGCCUG
rnacentral:lncRNA from 1 species